GACGAACCGUGCGAACGUUGUUCGGAAUCACUGGGCUUAAAGGGCGCGUAGGCGGCUCGCGAGGUCGGGGGUGAAAUCCCACGGCUCAACCGUGGAAGGGCCUCCGAUACCGGCGAGCUGGAGGAAGGUAGGGGUGCGCGGAACUUCUGGUGGAGCGGUGAAAUGCGUUGAGAUCGGAAGGAACGCCCGUGGCGAAAGCGAGGUCCUGGACGUUUUCUGACGCUGAGACGCGAAAGCCAGGGGAGCGAACGGG
rnacentral:rRNA from 1 species